UAAGCAGGCCUUCUUAUCGCUUUUAUUUGUAAAAGAGGAAAGUCCGGACACCAAAGAGCAUUAUAGCGGGUAACACCCGUCACUAUUUAUAAUAGAGGACAAGUGCAACAGAAAGUAUGUACAGUUAGGCUGUAGUGAAACCAGGUAAACUCUAUAAGGUGAAACGUCACGUAUACCAACGCUUGAGAGCUGCUCGCUCAAUGUUGGAGGGUGGGCGGUUUGAACAAAAUAGUAAUAUUUUGUCUAGAUAAAUGAUAAGACAAGACAGAAUCCGGCUUAUGGCCUGCUUUUUUU
rnacentral:RNase_P_RNA from 1 species